rnacentral:sRNA from 1 species
AUUGUAUGCUUCAAUAAGCUUAGGCGUGAAGCGCCUGCAUGGUGGGCACCAUGAGGCCGAGAAGUAGAGGGCAACGGUGCUUGCCUCGAUGCUGCUGAUCUUCACCUGCAGGACAAUAAGGCCUUCAGAGACGCAGUUGUUUGGGACUUCCUGUUGAUCUCAUCUUAUCACUACCAAUAAGAUCAUCACCAAAUCAAUAUCACACAAGCAUGGGACGUCGGCUGUAAUGGGAUCGAGACGAUGCUCCAGCUCUCCCCCCCACACCCCCGGCUGCUACUUCGCAAGUGUCGGUCUUGCCACAACAGAUGGGAUUUUGGCAAUCACGCUUCAAUCUGUCUCUACUUUAACAUGAGGUAAUCAACUUAAUCAAUUGUUGCUUAGUAUUCUUAGUAAUGCAUCCAUGUUAAAAAACAUUAACCACUAUAUUUUCCAUCCAAGGCACGAUUUGUGAGUAGCGAUAUCAAAAACAACUGUAGAUAGAAAACUUUUGCGCUUCUUCAUUUUGAUUUAUAUAUCAAAAUUCAUUUGGUUUACCAUUAGAAGCACUAGCUACCGUCUAAUUCAGUAAUUUAUUUCCUUGCCGUACUUUGCAUACUCUAUAGAUAUGCACGAUUAAGGCCAUUAACCACCACAUGCAAGAUUUUCAAUUAUCUCUAUCAUUUAAAUUUUCGCUUGUGUAUUUUUUAUAACACAUUUGAUAAUAAGUGCUACAGUUGAAAUUAACUAUAUAUAUAUAUGUACGAAUUCAUCAUUCAUUACUUUUGGUUUCUUAAAGACUGAUAAUUUCAAAAUUCAUAAUUAAUAAAUAUGAAUCUAAAUCAAUCUUAUGCUCUUGAUAUAUUUUUUCAUUAAUUCAAUCCAAAAUUUAAAAUUAAUAGUUAGCAAGUUAUAUGGACUCUUCAUCCGAUCUAAACCGCUAUUUUUGUUUUUUUAAAAAAAAACUAAUGUGAACAAAUUCAACAAUUGGCUCUCUAUAUCAAGAUAGAUUGACCAAACAUCAAUUAGAUUGAAUAUAUUAUGACAAUACUACCUCCGUCCCAAAAUAAGUGCAGCCGUGGAAAUCCGUGUCCAACAUUUGACCGUCUGUCUUAUUUGAAAAAUUUAUAAAAUAAAUAAAAUAAAUUAGUCAUACGUAAAGUACUAUUCAUGUUUUAGCUUCUAAUAACGAUAAAGAUACUAAUCAUAAAAAAAAUUUAAAUAAGACGAAUGAUCAAACGUUGGAUAUGAACAAUGCAAAAACUGCACUUAUUUUGGGACGAAGGGAGUAGAUCUUACAUGGAUUUUGUGUCAAAUAAAACAUACAAGUGAAAACUAAUAUCUUGACUCAUUUUAUUAUUCUUUAAUCUAAUUCUGAAUUUGAAAUUAUUAACUGCAUGUUCUAAUUGAAUUGUGCAGUUUUUUCUUUGAAGAGCAUAUAAGCACAUCUCUCUAAUUGAGGCAUCGGCUCUUUGUUUAAUCCAAACAGUUGUAAUUUAGAAAAUAACCAAUACGUUCAACAUGUAGUUAAAGUUCAGUAUUUAUAAUACCAAUAGUAAUAGCCCGUGGAACGCACGGGUCAACGUCUAGUUGAACAAAUUUGGCAUGACCACUAUUUAGGGAAGUCCAUUUUACCCCUCCAACUCUUCACUUUGUAUAAACUACACCCUCUAACUUUAAGCCGAGUAUUUGACACCUCAACUUUCAGUAUGUUCACUUUAUCCCCUUGAGCAGUUUACAGCCAGUUUACACUUACGUGGCGCUGGUGUGACAGUCCAUUCAGAAGAUAAAAAUACAAAGAAAUUAGGGCCACAAAUUCAGUGCCUAGCCACCUCUUCUUCUUCAGCUCUCCCCUUUCUAAAAAAUGGCGAACAUUAGGGAAGGAUCUAAUAUCAAAUAAUUAGGAGGGGUAAGACUUCUAACCUAGGUCGUCUAGCCCACCACCUUGUGGAGCUAGUCAGUAAGCCGGAGGACCCCUAGGUGUUUCUCAUCUCUCCCCUUUCUCUCCUUCAUCUUUCUCUCUCUUUCUAUCCCUAUGGUGUUUUCGCAUAAUUUGGCAUAUGUUAUGAUCUCACAGAUAUAUUUUUUAUGUGCUUAGUGGAAUCGACCUAUGCCACUUCCUUAACUUUGUGUGUUUGUAAUGAACUCAACAGUAUUUUUUUUACACCAAAUCUUUUCCAACAAAAGAGAGAGAAGAGAAGAACGACUUUUCCCUUUUAUUUGACUACUGUUUGUGGCAAGAAAAUACUAGACCAAGUACUGGAAUAGUACUAUGCACUACACCAGUACACCCCCAAUCCAUAUUGCAAGGUGUUCUAUUGAUCAUGUUUGUAGAAAAAUAAUUAACAUUUAUGCCACCUAAUAAAUACAUAAUCGAAGACAAAUUUUAGGGUGUAUUUAAGAAAUAAUUUGUAUUGUAGAUAUUGGUCGUGGUGGAAGUUGGAGAAGUUUAACUUAGGACAAAGUAAAACACCUUUUAGUAGUCCCUCCAUCUCAAUUUAAAAUUCAACCCUUUAAAUAUUUUUUGACCAAUAAAUAUUUUAGUUUAUUAUUUGAUGAAAAUAGUAUCAUUGGAUUGCUAUUUAAAUUUAUUUUUAUAUGAUGGUGAUUUUUUUUGCUACAAAUAUAAUAGUAUACAAGAAAUUUAACGUCAAAAAACAGUUUUGAAGAUUGUGCCAAGUUUAACUGUGCCUUAUUGAGCGCGACGGAGACGGAUGAGUACGAUGAGUAUGAAAUGGAGGGAGAAAAACAAACAGUAAAGGGUUCAGCUGCCAGCUAGUACUCGAGUAGUAGUAAAAAAGCAAGUCAGAAAUCACUGGUAUCACCGAACUGUAAACUUUAAUAAACGCAAGUUGGAAUUUGUUCACCGCAACGAUGUACUAGUCCUAUGUCGAAGACCGACCGCGGGACUAAAAGUAAUUAAUUACCUUCUCAUGGCUCAUCUCAAUUGCGCAGCACCGCACCGCAGCUCGCGUUGCUGGCAAUUAGGUGCAGAGACGAUCGGGGUCAAGAGAGAGAAACAAAACGCACAAUCGCAGCAGGAACUAGCUAGCAAAUCCGUAGACCGUAGGACCAAAAACAGAGAGGGAUAGAGAGAGAGAGAGGGUGCAGGGGGCAAACAAAACCUGGUCGGCGGAGUUGCGGAGGAGGAAGUCCCUGCCGUCGGCGGCGAGGACGGUGGCGAUGCCAGCGGCGUCCGCCAUCCGGGAGCGUAUAGUGUAGGACUAGUACUAGUAGUAGCGAGGGAGUGGGCAAGUGGUGGCCGGUCUGGUGGAGUGGAGUGGAAGGAUCGGGGAUCAUGAGAUGGGGUUUAUUUAUAGCCGCCGGCCGGCCGCUGGUGCGCGGAAGCGACGAUGGGUUUGGGUGUCGUCGCCGUUUUUACUGCUUCUGCUUGGGCCAUGUUUAGAUCCCACCCUAGAAAUUUUGUCACAUCAAACAUUUAACACCUGUGUAAAGUAUUAAAUAUAGACUAAAAAAUAAUUAAUUGCACAUAUUACGAUUAAUUUGCGAGAUGAAUAUUUUAAGCCUAAUUGUCUAUGAUUUGACAUUGUGGUGUUAUAGUAACCAUUUGCUAAUGCCAGAUUAAUUAGGCUUAAUAAAUUUGUUUUAUGAUUUAUUGACGGAUUAUGUGAUUAGUAUUUUUAUUAGUGCUUGAAUACUCUAUACGACCCCCUAUAUAAUACCCGAUGUAACACGACAAAACUUUACACCCUGAUAUAAGCACCCCCUUGCUUAGCAUGCAAGAUUGCUAGCUACCCAGCAUAUCAUUAUUAAUUUAACUUCUAACGUUUCUUUUCUUAGGGCAUGUUUGAAUAAUUUGCUGUGGCAAAUUUUUUUUUGACAAAAGUUUUAGUGGCAAAAGAUUUGGCAUUGAAGUUUUCUUAGUUGGUGUUUAAAUGUAUGGUAAAGUUUUACCAUUUUACUAGUAAAGACAGAGAGAGCACAGCUCCCAACAUACUUUUUAGCAAAAUUUGCUAGUCUAGACUCCUAAAUGACAAAUGCUGAAUUGUCAACUUUUACUACUAGUGUUUAGAUCCAUUUUAGCAAAAAAAUGCUCCAAAACAGCAAAACUUUUACCAUUUUGGAGCAUAAGUAGUUACACUAGAGCAAAUAUGAGCAGAUGCAAGAUAGGCAUAUCAGUUCAGAUUUGAAUUUUAUUUAUUAUUUAAACCAUUUUAGAUAUGAGCAGUUUGAACAAGGGCAGGAUGAAUGAUGGGUUAUAUGAAUUUGUGAUAAUAUAAAAGGGUAUGAAUGAAUGAAUUAAGAGAAUAUUGGUCGUGUAUCCUUGAGUACUUGCCAUAGAGUUUAUAUGCCCUUGUGUUUGUCUUAACCACUGCAUGCUCAUGAGUUCUUAUUUUGAUUCUCUAUACACAUUUAAGAACUUUUCUUAAAAUAAAAAUAUUUCCCCUCCAUUGAACAGAAGAGCUAGCUUAAAAGCACAAUUCUCAAAAGUAAAAAUAACUUCACAUCCAAAAUAUUGCAGAGGACAGAAUAUUUAACCGCAAAUUGAAAAAAAAAAUCUCACAAAACUACACAGUUUGAUAAAUCUAUUGCAAAGCUACAUAUUUAAUUGCGUGUAUCUCAAAUUAUAGAUUUAGAAUUUUUUUUAUGAAACUACAAACCUAAAGCAUCACACCAUAAUAUUACUGAUAUAACAUCAAUUGUAUUACAAACCUAUACCUUCCAUGACUUUAAACCAUUAAAAAAAACUAUAGUGCUAUGGAUUGAGACUCUGAAAUAUGUCACUAAAUCUAUAUAAAUUUAUAUAGUUUUAUGAUACGACGUCUUAUAUCCGGUGUUAAAUUUACGGUUCUAUUAUAGUUUGAUUAGUUACGUUAAUUUUCGGAAGGACUACAUUACAAGGUCAGCCAAGUCUUCCUUGGCCUUUUAGCUACAUCCACUCCACUCAUUAUUAGUUCUUAAAAGG